GUGGGGAAUCUUGCGCAAUGGGCGAAAGCCUGACGCAGCCAUGCCGCGUGAAUGAUGAAGGUCUUAGGAUUGUAAAAUUCUUUCACCGGGGACGAUAAUGACGGUACCCGGAGAAGAAGCCCCGGCUAACUUCGUGCCAGCAGCCGCGGUAAUACGAAGGGGGCUAGCGUUGCUCGGAAUUACUGGGCGUAAAGGGCGCGUAGGCGGACAGUUUAGUCAGAGGUGAAAGCACAGGGCUCAACCUUGGAAUUGCCUUUGAUACUGGCUGUCUUGAGUACGGGAGAGGUGAGUGGAACUCCGAGUGUAGAGGUGAAAUUCGUAGAUAUUCGGAAGAACACCAGUGGCGAAGGCGACUCACUGGCCCGUUACUGACGCUGAGGCGCGAAAGCGUGGGGAGCAAACAGGAUUAGAUACCCCGGUAGUCC
rnacentral:rRNA from 1 species